rnacentral:rRNA from 1 species
CUACGUAGGUGACAAUCGUUAUCCGGAUUUACUGGGCGUAAAGGGCGUGUAGGCGGUCUUGCAAGUCAGAAGUGAAAUUCCUGAGCUCAACUCGGGCGCUGCUUCUGAAACUGCAGGACUUGAGUGCUGGAGGGGAUAGCGGAAUUCCUAGUGGAGCGGUAAAAUGCGCAGAUAUUAGGAAGAACACCGGUGGCGAAGGCGGCUAUCUGGACAGUAACUGACGCUGAGGCGCGAAAGCGUGGGGAGCAAACAGGAUUAGAUACCCUGGUAGGCCACGCCGUAAACGAUGAAUACUAGGUGUAGGGGGUAUCGACUCCUUCUGUGCCGCAGUUAACACAAUAAGUAUUCCGCCUGGGGAGUACGGCCGCAAGGUUGAAACUCAAAUGAAUUGACGGGG